UAAAUAUUUGAUAGUUUUCCUGUCAGUUCACGUUAUCCAAUUUUAUGAUUGUCUCAGUAUAUUCCAAAAUUAAUAUUUUUCAAACGAAUCCCCAACGACUCCAUGGUCCAUAUGGAGAAUGAGGCUUCCUAUGAUGUUUCCAUGACGGAAAUUUUAUCACUGAUAAACUCACCAUCUGAUGACAAUUCUUGCAAAAAUUUUCUUAAAAAACUUAAAACAGAUGAUAAUUAUGAUGAAGCACUUUGUAAAUUAUUCGAAUUAGAAAAGGACUCAGAUCGACAUUUUGCACUUUCAUUAAUUGGGGAACUUAAAAAACUACCUGAAAACCAAAAAAUGGAAGCAAAAAUAAGUUUGUUUACUAUUAUAAGUGAAUAUCAGCAAUUAGCAAAAAAUAUUCAAUCAUUGUAACUAUUAAAUAUGUUAAUAUUAGUUGGAAAGAAUUUUGAUUAUAAUAU